rnacentral:lncRNA from 1 species
CUUCUCAUAACUUUUUUAACUGAAAAACAAGAUUUUGUGUCCUUUACUGUAGCUGGAAACUCAUGAUUUAACAGAGCAGCACAUAUCUCUGUUGAUCAUUGAUAUGAAACACACUGUUGUGCAAGUUCCAGACAUCUUGGGCACAAUUUGGUGUUUAGGUAUACUGUAUGCAUGUUAGGAGUAUCAGCAAUUUACUCAAAGCCCCCACUAGUGGUUUCCACAGUGAGUCACUGAUGUUACAACAGCUAUUAAAAAAUACUAGUUUGGAUAAAUGGAUGCCAAGCUUGUCAAUUUAGGUCUUUAAUUCAGCAUUUUCACAAUCAGUGACUGGAGGUAAACUGCGCUGGAGCAGCUGGUGUGAAGUGCUGUAGCUGCUGAUCCAUCACAGCUCCCAGUCAGGUCUAAUUGACUCGUUGUCAGGGGCUCCUCUUCAGGAACAUCACCCGUUCCCCUCUGCACAGCCAGCAGGCUGAACGAGCUCUUCUUGGGCUACAACACACACAUCUAGCAGGAUCACCUGGCAGCUUAAAGCAAAAUACCUACAAUCUCAGUAGAAGAUCACAACAGAACUGUGUUUCUGUAUUAAGGGAAAAAAACACCCUUAGUGGAAAGAGCAGAACAAUGCUGCACAUUUGAAAUUGAAUGCUUUGAUUUCUAUCUUUGUGUCUUUGUGUCUGCUCUCCAGCCUCCGGAGUCUCUCUCUCCUGACUCGCCCUUACCUGGCUGAAAUUACAGCGUUGAUAGAGCAAACAUCUGCAGAUGGAUGCUCGCUAAGAAGGAGAGCACAUGGCGACUAUCGGAUCGGCUUAGUGAACGGCCUUGAGCUCUACCUGAUUGCCAAGGUGCCCGAGAAGAAGAAGGCUCCACAGCAGAAACAAUGCAUUUCUUUUAUUCUCUUUUCAGCAUGGAAUAAAGCUUUACUGGUCACAAGGUGCUGAGAUGUCUACCUGCCCAUUGAUUGGCUCACUUGUGCUGGAUGAUCUUCUGUGAGCAGUCGGAUGGUCACAGGCUGGGGAUGGGAACCGUCAUUUUCUCUUUAUUUUGUCCUCCAGAAAAGGAAGAGCUGAUUUAGGCGGCUGCUGUGUCCCCUCCUUGGCUCCGGCACACCGAUGCAGAAGGAAGCUGAAUGAGUGUGGUGACCUGGGGCUCAGGUACGGGAAGGAGAGACAGGUGGCCCUGGCUGCCCAUGGCGCUGUGCCGUGUCUGUUUCCUUCUUCAAGAAGAUUGUGGGGGAUCUGGGAUCUGGCCUCUGCCAUGACAGGAGAGAGUUCCCGCAUGGCUGCUGGCCGUCUGUGUCCGGGAGAGACUCGGCCCCGACGCUCUGUGGCUGCCGGAGUCUUUGAGCACAUGGCAGGGGGACAGCGAGCGUGCGGACGGGAACGUCAUGUUCCAGAGGCCCACAGAGGAGUCCCCAGGAAAGGCCUUAAUCCAGGAUGAGUGAAAAGCUGAUUAGAAAGCAGCUUAGCUCCCUGGAUGGAGUGUGCUGCAUGGCCAGACCUGAUGAAAUGAUCCAGGAGCUCAGCUGAUGUGACACUGUAAAUCAGAGAGGUGAGGAUUGAGGAGCCUGUGUACAGAAGCACAGACAGCAAGAAUCCUUCAAGCUUUCCAGCCUCAUGUAUUGGCCUGGAGAUGAAUAAAGUUAAAUUCCUU